GAGGCGGCACGCCUGGCGUCAAUGCCAGCCUGGAGGAGAGACAUGAUGAAGAAGAAAAUGGAUGAAGAGAGGGAACAGAAAAGAAAAGAAGAGGAGCAGGCCAAAAAGGUGAAGGAGAUCGAGGAGAAGACGGAGUUGGAGCGAAUACGAAACCUAGGCUAUGACGAGACCAAACUGGCGCCCUGGCAGCGGCAGCUCAUUUUGAAGAAAGGGGAUAUACCCAAAUAGUAAACAGGAUCAUCUCCCCAUCCUCUGCCCUGCAGCGCUCCCCACCCCAACUUAUACCAAUGCUUCCCCCUCCCUGAUCCUGCAUCCCACACUGCACAGGUCCACAGGGGAAAAGCUGGUCUUCCUUUAAACUGUGUGUUACUCUUUGGCCUCCAGACACACAGGGCCAUGCUGUGGCUGCUGCUGUCCACACGGACUCUGAGGCUCAGCUUGGGAUGACCCUGCACCUGUUUUAUUGACACAAAAUCUUGGUUUUUUUUCUUCAUUUUUUUUUAACAUUAACAACAGUUCUGAGAUGCACUGAUUCUUGUGACCCGAUAAAUGUAUGUGUCCUGAACAUAGCAUCUAUCCGCUUUCCUGCAAAUCACUAGACUAGACAAAAGUUAGAACAUUUAACAGACUUAUAAUAGAAAGAGACUACUUUUAAGCCUAUAUGCCAGACUCACUCACCUUUAUGUAAUGAAUGGGGAAAAAAAUACUCAUGAAGCAGCUAAUGCAUUCUAUAUGUAGAUAGUGUUACAUCUCCAUCAUGGCUUAGUCAUGACAUUUUUAUAUCAGUCUCAUAGAAGCGCUUUCUAGGCUUCAUUUUACUGCCACGGUUGCAAUUCUUUUCAAUUUUUUAAAGCAAAAUCUCUGCUCAAACGUAUCAGCGUCUCGUAGUUAAGCUUGUCGUGCUUUCUCAGCGGAUUUCAAAAGAUGAUAAAAUAUCCUAUUUUUCAAAAAGAAAAUGCAAAAUGAUAUAGAUUGAUUUUCACUGGAAAAGGAUAAAAGGAUUCAAAUUAGAUUUUUCAGUGUGUGACCUAAACUUUAAACUUUAAGCUGUUCUGAGCACGAAUGUUACAUGUUGUGUGCAUGUGUGGAAUGAAGCGUAUCAAGUUGUGUUGUUUUGUUAAGCAUACUUGACCCAGGGGUUCCUGGAUAUUCUCAAAGUAAAGGAAGAAAAGAAAAGACACACAAAGUCUUGUCUAGGCAUCCUCUAUGUGAGCAUAGCCUUUAAAAGAAAUGCACAUCGGCAACUUACAGCAGUCGUCAUCUUCACACUAAAUAUUUCAAAAGUUUGAGAAAAGACAACAUUUUGUCCUGUGUCAUGUUCCGGUCUUUGUCCCACUAACCUGGACUCUAAAUCUUUGAUGAGCAGAUCUGCUUACACACAUAGUCACGAUACAAAUUUUGUGAAACGACAGUUUCAGUAGUCGACCCCAGUGACUACAAAAAAGCUGAUUUUUCUUUUUCUUUUUCAAGUAUUCUUAAUGAUUCGCACAUCUGUUGGGCACAGUUUUGGCCAACAAAUAGAAAUUUGGAAAAGCUGUGUUGAAUACUUUCGGCAGAACUGAGGAGACAUACAUACUGCAAGUUUGACCAGUUCACGCAUUUGCAUAGUGGCAUUUAAGUGAGAGUAAAGCUCUUAAAUGAAAUCAAAUCAUGCUGUGUUUGUCCGGUGGUUAAAAACAUGAUGUUUCAUUUUUGUUGGAUGGACAUUUUUACAAGUAUGCACACGAUGUCACAUGAAUAUCAUGGGACUGUUUGAUCACUUGGAUAUAUUCUAAUUCACUUUCAUCGGAUGCCAUAUGAUAUUGAAAUUGAGGAUGGUGUAAAUGUCAUUGCCAUUUGAUUUUCUUUAUAUAUAAACUGUGUACAUAGUGACCCUCAGCAUUUUGUCACCUCAUUGUUUCCACAUUGCAUUAUAAUACAUGUCUCAGCCUUGCUUGAAUAGAAUAUUGGUUAAUGUGUAAUCAUAUUUUCAAACUGUUAAAGUUGAAGAAAUUAAAUCUUAAAUUACCAAAAAAAGA